AAGAAGCCGACAAGAAAGGAAAUGAGAGAUAAAAUAGUUUUUAUUUAUUAAAACAAUCUAUGAUUUGUUGAUUUUUUUUAUUUAGGAAUAUUUUGUGGUCUGAUAUAGAUGGUUGUGACAGGUAAUAUUGAGCCGACAAGAAGAAUAGAUCUACCGACAAGAGGCUUGAAUUAACGACAAGAAGCCGAUAAGAUAGAAAAUGAAAUACAAAAUAGUUGCUUUUUUAAUUAAUUUAUUAAUACAAUGUUUGAUAUGCUUUUUUUUUUUUCUCUCUCUCUUUCUUUUCUAUUUUUGAUUGUUUUGUGGUGUCUGAUACAAUGGUGGUGACAGGGAAAAUUGAGCCGACAAGAAAAAUAGAUCUACCGACAAGAAGCUGGAAUUACCGACAAGAUGACGAUAAGAGACAAAGUAUGUAUAUAUUAUUCUUUAUUUCUUAGUUGUUUUUUGUUUUUGUUUUCAUGUAUUUGUUUUGCAUUCGAAGUUAAACAUAUUCUGUUGGUGAAUGUUUUUGGUCUCAACAGUUAAAUAUUCCACCACUGACGGUCCCACCAGACUCACUGAAGUUUUAUUUUUUUAAGCGAUAGAGUUUUUGCAUUUAUUGUGCGUUUUCUUUGCCCAGGUUUACGUGCCAAAGAUUGAGUUUGUGGGAUUGUGAGACUACCAUCCGUUGACUUAGGAAUCUUUGCAGUGUGAUUUAGAACAUUGGAGGCUGCUUACUGGUGGACUUAACUCGAAGUCCCCAUGGCCGUAUAAUGCCACCAUGUAUUAAACUUUCUUGUACAUACAGACGAAAAACAUGUAUAUAAACAUUUUGUCAUGUCUAAUAUUUUGUCGCGGUUCUUCAAAGAUAUUCAGUUCGGGUGCUGGUAUUAUGUGUUUUCACUGCAUAGGAAGCCAGCCAGUUAAGUGUAUGUUGUCAUUGUGUAAGAUUUCGCUGGUCAUUAUUACUCUUGGCAGAAAUUUGUGUAUACAAGUUACCCGUGGACGCGUGUGUCCCCUAAGGUCAAUCGGCACGUGGCUCAUAGGUGAAGGUAUGAUAGUAUAAUUUCUAAAUAUGGGCCCGCCCACAUCGCCAAUUACUAUUUUUCAUUAUCUGGUAGUUGGUGUCAGAAUUAAUUCAUUGCAACAAUUUCUAAUAAUCAAUCUACACGAACUUAUAUAAAAUAAAAAUAAAUUGUGAUUUACCUUUUUAAAAUUAGUACGAAAUUUGGAAUAUAUCAUGGGUAGUUUUCUAAUCAAUACAAAAUUAACAUUGAAGUUAUUCCAUUAUCAUAUCAUUUAAUAAAUUUUCUUUUAAAUAUAUACAUAUUAUUAAAUUGUUAAUUGUUCAAUAUAUUCCAGUACAUAUAAUUAAAUUAGUAUGUACGAAGAAAUAACCUUUCUAUUCUUUCUUGUCGGCUUCUUGUCGGUAAUUCUAACUUCUUGUCUGUUCCCGUUCAAUGCAGUGAAAUUAUUAGAAACGAAGAUACAGAAACAAUUGUAUCAAUCAUUUUCUGGUAAUGCAAUCAUUGUCGAUAUAUACAUGUAUUACUACAUUGUACGUGUAAUUAAAUUAGUAUAAAUCAAGAAAUAAAAAAGAUCGUAUUGUUCA